GCCACCGUAGCUCAGCCGGUCAGAGCAACGGUUUCGUAAACCGUAGGUCGAGGGUUCGAAUCCCUCCGGUGGCU
rnacentral:tRNA from 1 species